GUCAGGAUGGCCGAGUGGUCUAAGGCGCCAGACUCAAGUUCUGGUCUCCCCUGGAGGCGUGGGUUCGAAUCCCACUUCUGACA